rnacentral:rRNA from 1 species
AGGACGAACGCUGGCGGCGUGCUUAACACAUGCAAGUCGAGCGGUAAGGCCCUUUCGGGGGUACACGAGCGGCGAACGGGUGAGUAACACGUGAGCAAUCCUGCCCGUUCACUUCGGGAUAAGCCUCGGAAACGGGGUCUAAUACCGGAUAUGACCGCGCUACGCAUGUGGUGUGGUGGAAAGUUCUGGCGUGGAGGAUGAG